UGAUGGGUUGUGCAACUUACCUGCUUCCCUUUACAGCUCCAGUGAGUGUCUCUAAGGUAGAUCCUAAUGCAGAUGGAUGGAAUGUUGAUCCGCCUAACAUGCAAGAUUUUCUGCACCGAGAACUUUGGAUGACCAUCAAGACAAGCACUCGUUUUGAGUCCUGAGACCCUGGGGUGACCACCGUGAACAAAUACAGACUGCAAAAAGGCAGUCUUGACGGUUCUAGGAUGAAUGCAAAUAAAGACUGACCACCUGACUUCAGCGGUCCAGUCUCUUGUGGGAAGCAGGUGUUUGUUACCCCAAAUACGGAUGAAGAGUGACGAAGAGGAUGAUGACUUUUUUCUCAAACAUCUUCUGAAGGAUCUUGACAGGCUGGAGACAAAAUUAACAGACUGAGGGUUUAUACAAAGAAUCUUACUCAGCCAAUAUUAAAGAUAAGAUAUUUUUACAAAAUGUUCUGUUCAUUGUUUAGGAUGAUUUUAUGUAGAAAACAAUACAUCACAAAAAAGACUUUAGCUGGGUUUUCACAGGCAGUGCCUUACACACACACUAACCACAAUUAUAAACGCAACACUAACACAGAUUUAGACAGAUUUGUGAAUAAUAUUUGAGAGAAAUAGGCCUUUUGGGGACAUAGAAAAUAUUUAAGUUCAGCUCAUGAAAUGAAAAAUGGGGGCAAAAAAUGUUUUAACAAGUGCAAUACAAAUAUCAACCAUAAUACUGAUGGUUUAAAAAAAAGUAAGCCACUAUAUCUUUCUAGAAUCUUACAUAAGACUCAGUUACAUAAACGAUCAAAAUAAAUUAACGUCAGACAGGUGGGCGAAAUAUCAAUAUUAAAGCAUGAAUAACUGUUAUCAACCCAAUUUCAAGGUAUUAUUUAAAUGAUCCCACACCAAACAGUUUAU